GCUGACUGGUGCUGACUGACGGAAGAUGACUGUGCAGUUGCAUAGGUGACUUAUGCCCGGCUUACGACGGGCUUUUGGAAAUAAUUUUCUGCCCAUGCUGUCCUAAUAUUUUCUUUCACGAUGGCUGACUCAAAUAAGCCAUCAGCAGUUCCCAUUUACAUUUCAAUUAUCUUGUUUGUUUGCUUUGUUUACGGGAUAUAUGAUUAUCUCACCGGUUUUGAAGAAAACGGUUGUGCGUUGACAUACAUGUAUGAAUACCCACAAUUCGUGAGAAUUCAGCUGCCUCAGAACAUCUCCCAGAAGUAUCCUCGCUACAAGCUGUAUGCUUAUGGCGAGGGAGUCUACACUGAGCAGCUACGAGAUGGCAAAUUCAAUGGUGUGCCAGUUCUCUUCAUUCCUGGCAAUGGAGGAUCUUACAAGCAGGCGCGCUCGCUGGCGUCGGUGGCGUACCGUCAGGCGGUCGACUCUCGUCUGCGCACCCCGCUCAACGUGUUCACCGUGGACCUGGCGGAGGACCUGGGCGCCGUCCACGGCCGGCUGCUGGCCGAACAGACCCGCUUUGUGGCCGCCUGCGUGCGGGCCGUGCUGCGGCUGUACGGCAGGGCCGCCGGGCCGCCGCCCGCCUCCGUGGCCCUGGUCGGACACUCCAUGGGCGGUGUGGUGGCUCGCGGCCUGUUCGCGCUGCCCGGGUUUGACCCCGCCUCUGUCAAUGUGCUCCUCCUGCUGGCGGCGCCCAUCGCCGAGCCGCCGCUCAGAGUCGACCUGGCGAUGGUGCGCUACUACGGCUGGGUGGAGUCGUUCUGGGCAGCGCGGCGCAACACCACCCUCUCGGCCGUGACCGUGGUCUCGCUGUCCGGGGGAGACAGGGACGUCCAGAUUCGACCACACCAGACGCAGCACCCCAGCUCCGACAUCACAGCCGUGACGGUCUCCGUUCCGGGCGUGUGGGCGUCGGCCGACCACCAGUGCAUCGUCUGGUGCCGCCAGCUGGUGCUGGUGCUGGCGCGCGCCCUGUUCGACCUGGUGAGCGCCGACACCCGCCAGAUCACCACCGACCCGGCCGCCGCGCGCGCAGUCCUCCGGCACCACUUUGUGCAGCGUACCCACGGAAAGCACUACCGGAACGCCUUCCACCCGGCCACUGUCCCGCUGGACCCGGCCGGCGAGUGGAAACAGUUCGCCCUACGACAGUGGAGCUACACGGCAGCGCGCGGCGAGUCUGGCCGUCCCACAUACCUGAUGAUCGGCCUGAUGAACAACCCGCUAUACCAGCGCGCCACAAUCAGCACGGUGAACCUGCCCAGCCGCGACUGGCUGGUGGCCUGUGUGGCCAGCAAGGUGGAUAAGGGAGUCAGGAUGUGUGAGGAGGGUGACAACCUGAGCCGGCUGGCGGAGCAGGUGCCGUCCCUCCAGGGCCGCCGUCGCUCCGUCUCUCUGGACCUGGAGCGGCUCCACCAGCGGGGCUACACACACGUGGUGGUGAUCGUGCGGCCCGCCGCAGAACAGGUGACGGUGGACUGUGACGUCAGUCGCCACAGCGACCGUCAGCUGACGGCCGACGUUCCCGCGUUCAGCUCGUUUCGCGCCUUCUUCAGUCAGCAGCAGCUGCUGGCCGAGACCCAGGCGGGCGCACUCAGCUACAACGUCUCGCUGAAGUCCCUGACGGAGCCGUGGCAGGCGGUGCGUCUGUACCUCCGUCCCACGGCCGCCUGCGGUCUCAGCAGCCAGUCGGGUCUCUCGUUCCACGUGCCGUGGGGCCAGCAGACCCAGCACGUACUGACCAGCGGUACUACAGUAGCCAGUGUGGCGGCCAAGCUGCAGUUUCCCCGGCCGGUGAACCUGAGCGCGGACGUCCUGCCGUACGUGACGGCCCACCUGGAUCCCACCUGUCGCUACUCAAUCAGCCUGCAGAGCUCGUUCCCGGAGCUGUGGGGCCAGAUGGCGCGCUAUUUCGGCGCGCUGCUCGUGCCGGCCGUGCUGUCGGUGACGCUGGUCACGCUGGCCGAGCAGCUGCGCGCCGCAGACGCCGGACAGACGCUCACCACGCACGGCGCGCUACUCCGGCUGACGCCGCUCAAACUGGUGAUGCCGUCUCAGCUGCUGACCUCGCUACUCGGCUGGUCGUUCCUGUCGUCUCGCCUGCCGCCGGCCGACCUGCCGCAGCUGGCCGCCCGCGGUCUCAGCUGCUCCGUUCUGCCCUUCCUGCUGUACUUUGUGUCGUGGGCGGUGGUGUGGCUGCUGUCACUGGUCGGAUGGGCGGCCGUGGCCUUCGUCGGUGGACUGGUGCACCGCGUCACCGGCAGACUGGUGUCCCGCGCGGUGGGCGGCUCCGAGGCGGUGGCCGAGGUGGCCGUUGCCGGCGCCGCCCGGUUCCCGGUCAUCCUCUCGGUGGCUCUCUCCGCGCUGGCGCUCUCCUCCUGCGGAGAGAUCGCCCUCGGACUCGGACUGAUCGUCACCUGCGUCAAGGUGUUCCAGAGUUACGAGGAGGUUCUAUCGGGCGGCGGCCGGCCGGCGGCGCUCAAGGCGUACACGUCGGUGACGCUGGCUCUGGUCUGGCUCUGGGUCACCCUGUUCCACCUGCCCUGCCUGCUCGUCUGGUCCAGGACGCGCAGUGAGAGCACCCAGCUGCCGGAGGAUCCCAGUCUGGUGGCGGCGCUGGUGCUCUGUAACAGCGGGGCAGUCCUCUGGCGAGACGCAGCGCCCCGUCUCGACCUGGCCGGUUACCGCGCUGUGGCCGCUGUGGUGCACACGGCCGCCGUGGCCGUCUACCUGUUCGGUCUGCUGAACGUAUACCGGGCCGGCUGGCUGGCGGCCGCCGCCGUCCUGGCCGUGGCCGUCCACCAGCUGACGGCGCCCGUCAGAGAGAUACCGGCCGAGCCGGACACCGGGGCAGAGCAGGAGGCGCCGGAGGGAGAGCAGGAGGCGCCGGAGGGAGAGCAGACUCAGGAGCAGGAGGCAGAGCUGCAGCAGCAGGACGACGCGGCCGGCGGUGACGGCGACUCCGGCCCGGAGGACGCCGCUGACGAGCAGCCGUGUCCGGCCGACUCUGCCGACUCUGCUGACUCGGCUCCGGCCGGCGGACCGGGCGGGGACGGGGUGCGGCGCCGCUGACUGGCGCGACUCCAACCUGCCGCCGACCCAGGCGGGGAGCGGUGAGCUGCCCCUGACCGGGCGGGGAGCUGUCCCUCACCCAGGCGGUGAGCUGUCCUUCACCCAGGCGGCGCAGCUACCCAGUCCCUUACUGCGGUCCGGCCGAGUAUAGCCCCGCCCUGUCCCAUAUCACAGCCAUGUGGAGCGCUGCCCGGGUCUGCGCUGUUUGUUUGUACCCACUGAUGCGCCGUGUGUGUGUGUGUGUGUGCGUGUGUUACUUAGUAGUGAUUGCCGUGUGAUCUGUGCACGCCCGCCGGUCCAGUCAGCCGUCUGUGAUCAGAUCCAACCAGAGCUAAUGGGUGCGAGGUGGGGCCGGCGGCAGCUGAUCCGUCGUUAGAUGUGCCGUGUCGUUAGUACACCCACCCCGUGUUGAGGCACAUAUCUAUCAUUGCUGAGCCCUCGGGCGGCACCCAGGAGCGGACUGGCGGACACUCUGCUGUGGGGCCGAGAUGCCCCGCCGUCCUGGUGAGCGCGAGUCGUGAGCGACGGGCGGUAGCCCGUACAUUACAAUUUCCCCAAAGACACAACGUCGGUAACAAAUGUUGGUAACAAACGCCUGAUGGCAACAAUCAUAGUAUUACAAUCUCGCCCCCGCGGUAUCACACAAUAUGACAGACUGUAUCACCUGUUUGUUAUAUGUUGGCCGAUGAUGGGGUUUCAGUCCUAGUGAUCCCUUUGUGUUCGAUCAAUACACAUAUCAGACCCGAACCCCAGCAA
rnacentral:misc_RNA from 1 species